GACGAACGCUGGCGGCGUGCUUAACACAUGCAAGUCGAACGGAAAGGCCCUGCUUUUGUGGGGUGCUCGAGUGGCGAACGGGUGAGUAACACGCGAGUAACCUGCCCUUGACUUUGGGAUAACUUCAGGAAACUGGGGCUAAUACCGGAUAGGAGCUCCUGCUGCAUGGUGGGGGUUGGAAAGUUUCGGCGGUUGGGGCUGGACUCGCGGCUUAUCAGCUUGUUGGUGGGGUAGUGGCUUACCACGGCUUUGACGGGUAGCCGGCCUGAGAGGGUGACCGGCCACCUUGGGACUGAGAUACGGCCCAGAAUCCUACGGGAGGCAGCAGUGGGGAAUAUUGCACAAUGGGCGGAAGCCUGAUGCAGCAACGCCGCGUGCGGGAUGACGGCCUUCGGGUUGUAAACCGCUUUCGCCUGUGACGAAGCGUGAGUGACGGUAAUGGGUAAAGAAGCACCGGCUAACUACGUG
rnacentral:rRNA from 1 species